rnacentral:rRNA from 1 species
AUAUUGCACAAUGGGGGAAACCCUGAUGCAGCCAUGCCGCGUGUGUGAAGAAGGCCUUCGGGUUGUAAAGCACUUUCAGUAGGGAGGAAAGGGUGUAGUUUAAUACGCUAUAUCUGUGACGUUACCUACAGAAGAAGGACCGGCUAACUCCGUGCCAGCAGCCGCGGUAAUACGGAGGGUCCGAGCGUUAAUCGGAAUUACUGGGCGUAAAGCGUGCGCAGGCGGUUUGUUAAGCGAGAUGUGAAAGCCCUGGGCUCAACCUAGGAAUAGCAUUUCGAACUGGCGAACUAGAGUCUUGUAGAGGGGGGUAGAAUUCCAGGUGUAGCGGUGAAAUGCGUAGAGAUCUGGAGGAAUACCGGUGGCGAAGGCGGCCCCCUGGACAAAGACUGACGCUCAUGCACGAAAGCGUGGGGAGCAAACAGGAUUAGAUACCCUGGUAGUCCACGCCGUAAACGAUGUCUACUCGGAGUUUGGUGUCUUGAACACUGGGCUCUCAAGCUAACGCAUUAAGUAGACCGCCUGGGGAGUACGGCCGCAAGGUUAAAACUCAAAUGAAUUGACGGGGGCCCCCCA